UGAAGGGGCUUAGAUUUUCUUAAUGUUCUGUACGUUCCCCAGCAGCUCGGCAACAGGACGUUGCCGAGAGUGAGAGCUGAGCCAUGGAUGGCGAAUCUCGAAUGGCUGAGUCAAGUAUAGACACAUUUGUCAGAACAUUUAGAAAAUCUUAUCCCCGUA
rnacentral:ncRNA from 1 species